GAUGAACGCUGGCGGCGUGCCUAAUACAUGCAAGUCGAGCGAACGGACGAGAAGCUUGCUUCUCUGAUGUUAGCGGCGGACGGGUGAGUAACACGUGGAUAACCUACCUAUAAGACUGGGAUAACUUCGGGAAACCGGAUCUAAUACCGGAUGAUAUUUUGAACCGCAUGGUUCAAAAGUGAAAGACGGUCUUGCUGUCACUUAUAGAUGGAUCCGCGCUGCAUUAGCUAGUUGGUAAGGUACGGCUUACCAAGGCAACGAUGCAUAGCCGACCUGAGAGGGUGAUCGGCCACACUGGAACUGAGACACGGUCCAGACUCCUACGGGAGGCAGCAGUAGGGAAUCUUCCGCAAUGGGCGAAAGCCUGACGGAGCAACGCCGCGUGAGUGAUGAAGGUCUUCGGAUCGUAAAACUCUGUUAUUAGGGAAGAACAUAUGUGUAAGUAACUGUGCACAUCUUGACGGUACCUAAUCAGAAAGCCACGGCUAACUACGUG
rnacentral:rRNA from 1 species